AACGAACGCUGGCGGCAUGCCUAACACAUGCAAGUCGAGCGCCUGUAGCGAUACGGGAGCGGCGCACGGGUGAGUAACGCGUGGGAACCUGCCCUUAGGUUCGGGACAACCGCGGGAAACUGCGGCUGAUACCGGAUGAAGUCCCCGAUAGAGAUAUUGGGGCCCAAAGAUUUAUCGCCUUUGGAGGGGCCCGCGUCGGAUUAGGUAGUUGGUGGGGUAACGGCUCACCAAGCCUGUGAUCCGUAGCUGGUCUGAGAGGAUGAUCAGCCACACUGGGACUGAGACACGGCCCAGACUCCUACGGGAGGCAGCAGUGGGGAGUAUUGGACAAUGGGGGCAACCCUGAUCCAGCAAUGCCGCGUGCGGGAAGAAGGCCUUCGGGUUGUAAAGCUCUUUUGCCGGGGACGAUAAUGACGGUACCCGGAGAAUAAGUCCCGGCUAACUUCGUGCCAGCCGCCGCCGUAAUAC
rnacentral:rRNA from 1 species